UACAGAGGUCUCAAGCGUUGUUCGGAUUCAUUGGGCGUAAAGGGUGCGUAGGCGGCGCGGUAAGUCGGGUGUGAAAUCUUGGAGCUUAACUCCGAAACUGCAUUCGAUACUGCCGUGCUUGAGGACUGGAGAGGAGACUGGAAUUUACGGUGUAGCCGGUGAAAUGCGUAGAUAUCGUAAGGAAGACCCAGUGGCGAAGGCGGGUCUCUGGACAGUUCCUGACGCUGAGCACGAAGGCCAGGGGAGCAACGGG
rnacentral:rRNA from 1 species